UACGUAGGGGGGCAAGCGUUGUCCGGAUUUAUUGGGCGUAAAGAGCGUGUAGGCGGCUUUACAGGUCCGUUGUGAAAACUCGAGGCUCAACCUCGAGACGCCGGUGGAAACCGUAAAGCUAGAGUCCGGAAGAGGAGAGUGGAAUUCCUGGUGUAGCGGUGAAAUGCGCAGAUAUCAGGAGGAACACCCGUGGCGAAAGCGGCUCUCUGGGACGGUACUGACGCUGAGACGCGAAAGCGUGGGGAGCGAACAGG
rnacentral:rRNA from 1 species